rnacentral:rRNA from 1 species
CCCUUAGAUGUUCUGGGCUGCACGCGCGCUACACUGAUGCGCUCAACGAGUUUUAACCUUGCCUGGAAAGGUUGGGUAAUCUUUUUAAAACGCAUCGUGAUGGGGAUAGAUUAUUGCAAUUAUUAAUCUUCAACGAGGAAUUCCUAGUAAGCGCGAGUCAUCAGCUCGUGCUGAUUACGUCCCUGCCCUUUGUACACACCGCCCGUCGCUACUACCGAUUGAAUGGUUUAGUGAGGCCUCGGGACUGGCGCGCUUGAGCAGCAAUGCACGGACGCGCCGGGAACUUGGUCAAACUUGAUCAUUUAGAGGAAGUAAAAGUCGUAACA